rnacentral:rRNA from 1 species
GAGUGAGGGCCCUCUGGGUCCAACCUCCCACCCGUGUUUAUUUUACCUUGUUGCUUCGGCGGGCCCGCCUUAACUGGCCGCCGGGGGGCUCACGCCCCCGGGCCCGCGCCCGCCGAAGACACCCUCGAACUCUGUCUGAAGAUUGAAGUCUGAGUGAAAAUAUAAAUUAUUUAAAACUUUCAACAACGGAUCUCUUGGUUCCGGCAUCGAUGAAGAACGCAGCGAAAUGCGAUACGUAAUGUGAAUUGCAAAUUCAGUGAAUCAUCGAGUCUUUGAACGCACAUUGCGCCCCCUGGUAUUCCGGGGGGCAUGCCUGUCCGAGCGUCAUUGCUGCCCUCAAGCCCGGCUUGUGUGUUGGGCCCCGUCCUCCGAUUUCCGGGGGACGGGCCCGAAAGGCAGCGGCGGCACCGCGUCCGGUCCUCGAGCGUAUGGGGCUUUGUCACCCGCUCUGUAGGCCCGGCCGGCGCUUGCCGAUCAACCCAAAUUUUUAUCCAGGUUGACCUCGGAUCAGGUAGGGAUACCCGCUGAACUUAAGCAUAUCAAUAAGCGGAGGAAA